GAUUAGGGUGAAGUCGUAACAAGGUAGCCGUAGGAGAACCUGCGGCUGGAUCACCUCCUUUCUAAGGAA
rnacentral:rRNA from 3 species